CUCCCCCUCCUCGCGCCCCCAUCUCCCUCCCCUCGUCUUCCCCGCGGCGACCCGACGCCAUUGCCCGAAGCUGCUGUCGCCGCAUCGCCAUCGUUGUCGUACAUGUUGCCAUCGGCCACCUUCGUCGUCCUUUGGCGUCCGGGAGGUUCACCGUCGUCCCCUACGUCGUCUACGCACCACCGUUCGAGCCUGUGGCCACUACAUCGAGCGGAUCGAACUCUUCUUCAACCUUCGUCCACUGGCGCGCCUCCGUCGACUCCGUCGUCGUCCUGCGCUCCGGGCCCUCACCGAGCCUUUCGUGCGCUCCCCGAUGCUGGAGCCCUGGAGCCAGACGCCACCGUCGACGAUGAUUCCUACUACACUGGAGGUGCCUACUACCAUGUGCAGGCCGCUGACGACGACCAAGAGUAGUUAGGAGGAUCCCAGGCAGGAGGCCUGCGCCUCUUUCGAUCUGUAUCCCAGUUUGUGCUAGCCAUCUUAUGGCAACUUGUUUAACUUAUGUCUGUACUCAGAUAUUGUUGCUUCCGCUGACUUGUCUAUGAUCGAG
rnacentral:rRNA from 1 species